GAUGAAGAACGUAGCGAAAUGCGAUAAGUAAUGUGAAUUGCAGAAUUCAGUGAAUCAUCGAAUCUUUGAACGCACCUUGCACCCUUUGGCAUUCCGAAGGGUAUGCUCGUUUGAGUGUCAUUGUACUCUCACACUUCCAAUCUUUGGAUUGGGAGCGGUGGACUUGGGUGUUGCUGCUUACUGUGGCUCACCUCAAAUAGAUUCGUGCACCUCUUGGUUGGACAUAGUACGGCGUGAUAAGUGUCUUCGCCGGCACCUCAGUAGAGGGUGGCUGAUCAGGAGCUCUGUGCUUCAAACCGUCCUCGGACAACAACUGACAACUUGACCUCAAAUCGAGUAGGACUACCCGCUGAACUUAAGCAUAUCAAUAAGCGGAGGA
rnacentral:misc_RNA from 1 species